rnacentral:rRNA from 1 species
ACUCAAAUGAAUAGACGGGGGCCCGCACAAGCGGUGGAGCAUGUGGUUCAAUUCGACGCAACGCGAAGAACCUUACCUGGAUUUGACAUCCUUUGACAGUUCCGGAAACGGAAUCUUCCCUGCUUGCAGGGACAGAGUGACAGGUGCUGCAUGGCUGUCGUCAGCUCGUGUCGUGAGAUGUUGGGUUAAGUCCCGCAACGAGCGCAACCCUUGUCUUUAGUUGCCCAUAUUUAGUUAGGCACUCUAGAGAUACUGCCUCGGUUAACGGGGAGGAAGGUGGGGACGACGUCAAGUCAUCAUGGCCUUUAUAUCCAGGGCUACACACGUGCUACAAUGGACGGUACAAAGAGCUGCUAAUCCGCGAGGAGGAGCCAAUCUCAAAAAGCCGUUCUCAGUUCGGAUCGGAGUCUGCAACCCGACUCCGUGAAGUUGGAAUCGCUAGUAAUCGUGGAUCAGAAUGCCACGGUGAAUACGUUCCCGGGCCUUGUACACACCGCCCGU